rnacentral:rRNA from 1 species
AGUGGGGAAUAUUGCACAAUAGGCGCAAGCCUGAUGCAGCGACGCCGCGUGGGGGAUGACGGCCUUCGGGUUGUAAACCUCUUUCGACAGGGACGAAGCUUUGGUGACGGUACCUGUAUAAGAAGCGCCGGCUAACUACGUGCCAGCAGCCGCGGUAAUACGUAGGGUGCGAGCGUUGUCCGGAAUUACUGGGCGUAAAGAGCUCGUAGGUGGUUUGUCGCGUCGUCUGUGAAAUUCCGGGGCUUAACUUCGGGCGUGCAGGCGAUACGGGCAUAACUUGAGUGCUGUAGGGGAGACUGGAAUUCCUGGUGUAGCGGUGGAAUGCGCAGAUAUCAGGAGGAACACCGAUGGCGAAGGCAGGUCUCUGGGCAGUAACUGACGCUGAGGAGCGAAAGCAUGGGGAGCGAACAGGAUUAGAUACCCUGGUAGUCCAUGCCGUAAACGGUGGGCGCUAGGUGUAGGGGUCUUCCACGACUUCUGUGCCGUAGCUAACGCAUUAAGCGCCCCGCCUGGGGAGUACGGCCGCAAGGCUA